rnacentral:ncRNA from 1 species
UAUCUUCAGGGCGGGGCGAACAUCCCCACCGGCUGUAAGUGCAUUUUUGCAUAAGCCAGCGAGCCGCAAGGUAUGAUAUGGUGCAAUUCCAUAGCCGACAGUAUAGUCUGGAUGAAAGAAGGUU